AGACCCGAAACCCGGUGAUCUAGCCAUGGGCAGGUUGAAGGUUGGGUAACACUAACUGGAGGACCGAACCGACUAAUGUUGAAAAAUUAGCGGAUGACCUGUGGCUGGGGGUGAAAGGCCAAUCAAACCGGGAGAUAGCUGGUUCUCCCCGAAAGCUAUUUAGGUAGCGCCUCGUGAAUUCAUCUCCGGGGGUAGAGCACUGUUUCGGCUAGGGGGCCAUCCCGGCUUACCAACCCGAUGCAAACUGCGAAUACCGGAGAAUGUUAUCACGGGAGACACACGGCGGGUGCUAACGUCCGUCGUGAAGAGGGAAACAACCCAGACCGCCAGCUAAGGUCCCAAAGUCAUGGUUAAGUGGGAAACGAUGUGGGAAGGCCCAGACAGCCAGGAUGUUGGCUUAGAAGCAGCCAUCAUUUAAAGAAAGCGUAAUAGCUCACUGGUCGAGUCGGCCUGCGCGGAAGAUGUAACGGGGCUAAACCAUGCACCGAAGCUGCGGCAGCGACGUUUAUGCGUUGUUGGGUAGGGGAGCGUUCUGUAAGCCUGCGAAGGUGGCCUGUGAGGGUUGCUGGAGGUAU
rnacentral:rRNA from 1 species